GAUGAACGCUAGCGGCAGGCCUAAUACAUGCAAGUCGGACGGGAUUCAGGAGCUUGCUUCUGAUGAGAGUGGCGCACGGGUGCGUAACACGUAUGUAACCUACCUUUAUCAGGGGGAUAGCCUCUCGAAAGAGAGAUUAAGCCCGCAUAAAAUCACAGCCCAGCAUUGUGUAAUGAUCAAAUAUUUAUAGGAUAAAGAUGGGCAUGCGGAACAUUAGCUAGGGGGCGGGGUAACGGCCCACCAUGGCGACGAUGUUUAGGGGAUCUGAGAGGAUGGCCCCCUAGACUUGAACCAAGACACAGACCAGACCGCGACGCGAGAGAGCAGAAUAGAGGAUUAGGGACGGGAGGGUAGUCUAAACCAGCCACGCGGCUGGAAGAAAGACUGCCCUUCUGGAUGUAAACUGCUGGUAUAGGGGAACAAACCCAGAUACGUGUAUUGGGCUGAAGGUACUGAAAGAAUAAGGAUCGGCUAACUCCGUG
rnacentral:rRNA from 1 species